rnacentral:rRNA from 1 species
GACGAACGCUGGCGGCGUGCUUAACACAUGCAAGUCGUACGGUAAGGCCCUUUCGGGGGUACACGAGUGGCGAACGGGUGCGUAACACGUGAGUAACCUGCCCACAACUUUGGGAUAACGCUAGGAAACUGGUGCUAAUACUGGAUAUGUGCUCCUGCUUCAUGGGGGGGGUUGGAAAGCUCCUGCGGUUGUGGAUGGACUCGCGGCCUAUCAGCCUGUUGGUGGGGUAGUGGCCUACCAAGGCGGCGACGGGUAGCCGGCCUGAGAGGGUGACCGGCCACAUUGGGACCGAGGUACGGCCCAGACUCCUAAGGGAGGCCGCAGGGGGGAAUAUUGCACAAUGGGCGCAAGCCGGAUGCAGCAACGCCGCGGGCGGGAUGACGGCCUUCGGGUUGUAAAACGCUUUCAGCAGGGACGAAGCUUUUUGUGACGGUACCUGCAGAAGAAGCACCGGCUAACUACGUG